rnacentral:rRNA from 1 species
AUACGGAGGGUGCAAGCGUUACUCGGAAUCACUGGGCGUAAAGCGCGCGCAGGCGGGCUGAUAAGUUGGGUGUGAAAGCCUACGGCUCAACCGUAGAACUGCAUCCAAAACUGUCAGUCUAGAGUGUGGGAGAGGAAGAUGGAAUUAGUUGUGUAGGGGUAAAAUCCGUAGAGAUAACUAGGAAUACCAAAAGCGAAGGCAAUCUUCUGGAACACUACUGACGCUGAGGCGCGAAGGCGUGGGGAGCAAACAGGAUUAGAUACCCCAGUAGUCC